rnacentral:rRNA from 1 species
AGUCGAACGCUGAAGCCUGGUGCUUGCACCGGGUGGAUGAGUGGCGAACGGGUGAGUAACACGUGAGUAACCUGCCCCUGACUUCGGGAUAAGCCCGGGAAACUGGGUCUAAUACCGGAUACGACUGCCGGACGCAUGUCUGGUGGUGGAAAGUUUUUUCGGUUGGGGAUGGGCUCGCGGCCUAUCAGUUUGUUGGUGAGGUAAUGGCUCACCAAGACGACGACGGGUAGCCGGCCUGAGAGGGCGACCGGCCACACUGGGACUGAGACACGGCCCAGACUCCUACGGGAGGCAGCAGUGGGGAAUAUUGCACAAUGGGGGAAACCCUGAUGCAGCGACGCAGCGUGCGGGAUGACGGCCUUCGGGUUGUAAACCGCUUUCAGCAGGGAAGAAGCGCAAGUGACGGUACCUGCAGAAGAAGUACCGGCUAACUACGUGCCAGCAGCCGCGGUAAUACGUAGGGUACGAGCGUUGUCCGGAGUUAUUGGGCGUAAAGAGCUCGUAGGUGGUUGGUCACGUCUGCUGUGGAAACGCAACGCUUAACGUUGCGCGUGCAGUGGGUACGGGCUGACUAGAGUGCAGUAGGGGAGUCUGGAAUUCCUGGUGUAGCGGUGAAAUGCGCAGAUAUCAGGAGGAACACCGGUGGCGAAGGCGGGACUCUGGGCUGUAACUGACACUGAGGAGCGAAAGCAUGGGGAGCGAACAGGA